rnacentral:rRNA from 1 species
UGCGGAACCAUAGAGGGUGAGAGUCCCGUACUUGAAAGCGAGGAUGAUCAGCUAUACGAGUAGGGCCGGCCACGUGGAAUCCGGUCUGAACAUGGGAGGCCCAUCUCCCAAGGCUAAAUACUCUUUGACGACCGAUAGUGAAAAGUAGCGCGAGCGAAAGAUGAAAAGCACCCCUUUUAGGGGAGUUAAAAGUACCUGAAACCAUACGCUUACAAGCUGUCGG